AUUCAUCAUAUAAAACGGUCCUUUUCAGGACCACAAUUUAAUUACGAAUAAGAGUAUUUUUUUAAACUUUCAAUUGUCCAUUAUCAUUGUAAUGUAACAUUCUGAAAAUUCAAUUUUGCUGACUAUACACCAGUAAUUUUCAACUAUUGGUCAUCGAAUAAACGAUUGUUUUAGUAACUUAAACAAUGACGGUUGAUUUAGAGUUUGCCAAGUUUAGACGGUCGUUUUGGAGCGAAAUUUUGUUGUUAUUCUGCUCAGUAGCUGCUCUGUCUGAACUGAUUGUCAUCUGGUGUUAAAAACUAAAAACUAUAAAUCAACCAUUUUCCAAUAGAUGGCAGUGCUAAUUUAAGCUAAAAUAUUGCCAGUGUGUUAUGAGGCAAAUAAUAAAAUUGGUCAAACUUAUUAUUCGAUUUGUGGAACAAUCUGGAAUUCUCAUAACCGACAUUCUCGUUUGAAAUGGGAAGAAUAUUUUCCCGGUUUUUUUGCAUGCGUUGCCGAUGGCUACACCAGAAUCAAAAUCUAUAAUUGUCGACUGAAAUUGAAUAAUUCCACUAUAAUUAUCUCAUGAUGAAAAUGUUCCAUAUUAUUUGGUUUGCUACCAAUUCUCAAAAACAAUAACAACACAUCUAUCAAAACUACUUGUUGGAAAUUAUCAUAAUGAUGAUGAUCAUCAUCAAUGGAUUGUCAUUCAAUCAUCAUUUAUCAAUAUGAAACUCAAAUUAUAAAUAUAUUUUCAUGAAACGAAGACGACGACUACGAUGGUGGUGGUGGUGGUUGUUGGUAGUUGAUGAUUAGAAUCGUCAAUCAUUUUCUCGUAAAAAAAACUUAAUGGUCAUUGAAAGAUGAUUAUUGCGAACAAAACAACAACAACAACAAGACGAUGUGUGUUCAUUACAAUUCCUAUUGUUAUUUUUUUUUUGCUGCUGCUGCUGCUGUCAUUUUUUUGAAACUGUCAGCCAACCACUUUAUUUUGCUGUGGGCUUUUCGUUUCUUUUUUUUUUUUUUUCUUUUAGAUGAUGAUGAUGAUGAUGAUGGAUUCACGGUAAUGGCGCGAAUGAUGAUGUUCACUUAUCAUUAUCAUCAUCAUUUUGGUGUGUAACCUUGCACUUUCAUUCAUUCGUGAUGAACAUUAAACAUUGAAUUCGUGUUUGUGUCUGUGUGUGUGUGUGUCGAUCUAUUCCGAUGAUCAUGGAUUGAGAUGGCAAUAAUAAUAACAAAAUCUCAUUUUCACCAAAAUAAAAGGGGUUGUCUACUGUCA